UGGGGAUGCGCCUUUUUGACCUGACGUCACUGGUGGGGGUAUAAAAUCCCUUAGAUUUGUCCUCCAGUCAUUCACUGUGAAAAAGCCAUCGACAGGACUAAGCGGCUGAGAAAGAAACCGACAACAAAAUGGCUAAAAUGUUGACGGCUUACAUUGGAUUCAUUCUCCUUGCCUUGCCUUGUUCAUCACAGGUCCACGCGCAAAACACUACCACAAAGUCCCCUGCCAUGACUGCUAUGACCGAAGCUGGCGGCGCGAGUUCCAACAUGACCAAGAUGCCCGAUGUUGUCGCUACCAAGAACAUCACCAUUCCCAAAGGAGCCAGUGUGUCCUUGCUGUCCAGCUCGGUCACGCUCUUUUCCAUCGCGUUGGCGGGCGCUUUCCUACACGGCCGCUUCUAGAAGGCUCCUGUGCACUGAACAGAUACUGCAAUGACUAACAUCAGUGGCCUAGAUGGGGAAAUUGUUUUAGGAAGAGCACACUUUUAUAACUUAAAGGCAGUCGUGUUCGCCUAACCAUAGAUUGAGUGCAAUUAGGCUGUUGCAGUGCUGCAGAACAUCUUUCUAAUUCACUGAUGGGAUUUCUUAUUUGGGGAUCACACCUCCCUGGCCACUUCAAACCAGUAGGCCUAUACAACUUGUGCACUGGCCAUAGGGCCUAUGGUGUGGACCCCUCCAUGGCGGCAGGCCAUGACGAGGAUGUGUGAAACUAGACUCUUUGGUCCCACUGGUCUUGUGUAGAUGGCAGUUUUUUUUUUAAAUGUAUGAAGUGUAAAUUUGCGCAGUGUUUGGUUAGUCUACUAAUAUAAGGAAGUUGGGGUGCAUUGUGGAACAUAAUGUAUCCAGUAGUCUGAUCUUUGUCAUGCAUUGGUGUAGUAUUUCUAAACCUGCAACGGACACUAAAGCUUGUGAUUAUUUGAAGUAUCAAUUUAGUUUAAAUUGUCAUGUUAACUAAUUAUUUGAAAUGUACUUGUGACAAAAUGUAUUUGUUCUUGUAGGCUACAAUAAAAUUUCAUGGGCCUAACUGAUUUGUGUCUCUGUAGUCUAAAGCUUGACGUGCCAACUAAUUGGCUCUGUUCCAUUUGUCUCCAGACCUGGCUAAGCUAUCGUGGCCUAGUAGGAAAGGCGCCCACUGAACACCUCGUUUGAUACUUUAUGCAACGAUCUCUUGGUUUCACCAAUUUGACUGAAGUGUGAAGUUGAGCCACAUUUUUCAAUGUCUGUGUUUGACACCCUGGGUUGACUCCAGUGCAGUAUUCAGUUUCUGUCACCUUUUGAAGUUAAUGUUUUGGAUGUGGUUGAAACACUACGUUUAGCUAUUAAUUUAGAAUGUUGAACAGAAGGUUUGAUGGGGUUAAAACAAACGGGUACCGCUAGGCUUGAACACAACCUUCAGAUUGGAAUUAUUUUAGCUAGCGACUAUUAGCAUUGCUAGUUAGACCAUUUGCUAGUAAUUAACAUCUCCAUCUCUAGAAUUUCACAUGGCAGUUUCCUAAUUUGCUUUUAGUAAUGUCAUCGUACGGUGUUUCCAUGCCACUAAGUGUAAUUUGAAAACUGUCACAUUAGCCUGGGGUGCAACCAAUGUCUAGAGCACAAAUUGAAUGCAGUUAUGGUGGUACUCAUGUCUGACAAGUGUACUGAGAAGCUAAACCAACCCAGGGCCAUAGCAAAACAUGUCAGAUGGUGUCACUGGCCUGACUAUUUCAAUCAGGAACCAGUCUACAUCUG
ensembl:lncRNA